rnacentral:rRNA from 1 species
AUAUCAAUAAGCGGAGGAAAAGAAACCAACAGGGAUUGCCCUAGUAACGGCGAGUGAAGCGGCAAACAGCUCAAAUUUGAAAUCUGGCUCUUUCAGAGUCCGAGUUGUAAUUUGCAGAGGGUGCUUUGGCAAAGGUUGUGGUCUAAGUUCCUUGGAACAGGACGUCACAGAGGGUGAGAAUCCCGUACGUGGCCGCCAACCCGCGCUAUGUAAAGCCCCUUCGACGAGUCGAGUUGUUUGGGAAUGCAGCUCUAAAUGGGAGGUAAAUUUCUUCUAAAGCUAAAUAUUGGCCAGAGACCGAUAGCGCACAAGUAGAGUGAUCGAAAGAUGAAAAGCACUUUGGAAAGAGAGUCAAAAAGCAC